rnacentral:rRNA from 1 species
AUGGCUGCCAUGUGCGCAAAGGUCAUCGCCAUCCUUCUUCUAUUUCUCCGGCUCGCACGGUUGUCCUCCUCCAGUUCCAUGGUGUUCGAGCUCCGGGGCAACGUCUAUCCUAUUGGCGGCCUCACGUGGCUGGAGUGCGACGCCCCUCGCCAGAGCUUCCACAAGACCACGAUCGAGCAACAGGGUGCCAUGCGAGGACGACGUUGUGCCGUGAUGCACAAGGACCUGGGCACCGUGCACGACUGCACCGAGCAUCCAGACCAAUGCGACUACGACAUAAAUUACAAGGACGGCUACUCAUCCAUGGGCGUGCUCUUAACCGACAAGUUCUCCCUCCCCAUGCGCAACGACCGCCCCAACCUUGCCUUCGGCUGCGGAUAUGACCAGCAAGGUGAAAAAGAAGAGCUGGAGGUGGACGGCAUCCUCGGGAUCGGUAGGGGAACGGGAGACCUCGUCUCGCAGCUCAAGCAACAAGGGUUGAUCACCGAGAAUGUGGUUGGCCAUUGCCUCAGCAGCCAUGGAGGGGGCUACCUCUUCUUUGGGGGCGACGUGCCCUCUACUGGUGUAACCUGGCUUCCCAUGGUUCAAGAGUACACGAUUUACUACUCACCUGGCAAAGUAACAUGGAACCUCGACGUACUACUGAAAUACGAGUUAAGCAAAACGCCGAGGGUUGCUGUCUUUGACAGUGGUAGCGCCUACUCAUAUGUGCAUAAGGACACAUACGAGCUGCUUAUUCAGGCGGUGGAUGUCACUCUCCAGGAUUCAACACUUCAGAAGGUGCCUGACGAUCCUGAACUGACUCAAUGCUGGAGAUACAACCAACCAAUCCAAUCUGUCGACGAUGUCAAGCAUGAAUUCGAACCACUCGAAUUGACCUUUACCCAUGGCGCUAGCCAGGUCACUCUGGACAUCCCUCCUGAAAAUUAUAUUGUUGUCACGGAAAGAGGAAAUGUGUGCUUGGGCAUCCACAAUGGUUCAGAACACGGGAUGGGGGAAUUGAACAUAAUUGGAGACAUUACAAUGCAGAAUCAUCUCGUGGUAUAUGACAAUGAGAGAGCGCGAAUCGGAUGGGUUCGUGCAUCGUGCGAUAUAAUGCCGGGGUCUGCACCUAUCAUCGCUUCGCGUCUCUAA